UGGGGAAUAUUGCACAAUGGGCGCAAGCCUGAUGCAGCCACGCCGCGUGAACGAUGAAGGUCUUCGGAUCGUAAAGUUCUGUUGCAUGGGAAGUUAAUGACGGUACCCUGUGAGCAUGCCCCGGCUAACUACGUGCCAGCACCCGCGGUAUUACGUAGCGUGCUAUCGUUAUCCGGAUUUACUGGGCGUUAAGGGUGCGUUGGUGGUCUUUCAAGUCGGUGGUUAAAGGCUACGGCUCAACCGUCGUUAGCCUCCGAAACUGGAAGACUUGAGUGCAGGAGAGGAAAGUGGAAUUCCCAGGGUAGCGGUGAAAUGCGUAGAUAUUGGGAGGAACACCAGUAGCGAAGGCGGCUUUCUGGACUGCAACUGACACUGAGGCACGAAAGCGUGGGUAGCAAACAGG
rnacentral:rRNA from 1 species